rnacentral:tRNA from 1 species
CCUCCUUUCUAAGGAUGAGUGAAAGUAAAAUUUCAUUCUAAAUAAUAUACAUCGGUAAUGUUGACCGUCCUCAUUUCUCUUCUUAAAGUAAUGUUUCCUUCUUGUAGGGCCGGUAGCUCAGUUGGUUAGAGCACACCCUUGAUAAGGGUGGGGUCGAAAGUUCGAGUCUUUCUCGGCCCACCAAAAACCUAAAUGGGGGAUUAGCUCAUCUGGGAGAGCGCCUGAUUUGCAUUCAGGAGGUAGCAGGUUCGAUCCCUGUAUCCUCCACCAGGAAACAUUUAGUUAUUAAAACUGUAAAUAAAAAUAAUUUAUAUCAAUAUCUAUAUCCGAACAUUAAAAGUUAUUAUUUAAUGUUCAAAAUAAAAAUUUGAUCACAACACAGAUAAUUUUCUUUAAAAAGAAUUUUUUUCUGUGCAUAAAUCAAGCGUUUAAGGGCGUGUAGUGGAUGCCUUGGCACUGAAAGCCGAUGAA